UAUCAAUAAGCGGAGGAAAAGAAACCAACAGGGAUUGCCCUAGUAACGGCGAGUGAAGCGGCAACAGCUCAAAUUUGAAACCUGGCGCAAGCCCGGAUUGUAAUUUGUAGAGGAUGCUUCUGGGUAGCGGCCGGUCUAAGUUCCUUGGAACAGGACGUCAUAGAGGGUGAGAAUCCCGUAUGCGACCGGCACGCACCCUCCACGUAGCUCCUUCGACGAGUCGAGUUGUUUGGGAAUGCAGCUCUAAAUGGGAGGUAAAUUUCUUCUAAAGCUAAAUACCGGCCAGAGACCGAUAGCGCACAAGUAGAGUGAUCGAAAGAUGAAAAGCACUUUGGAAAGAGAGUUAAAAAGCACGUGAAAUUGUUGAAAGGGAAGCGCUUGCAACCAGACUCCGCGGCGGUGUUCCGCCGGUCUUCUGACCGGUCUACUCGCCGCCGUGGGGCCAACAUCGUCUGGGGCCGCCGGAUAAGACCGGAGGAAUGUAGCUCAUUGAGUGUUAUAGCCUCCGGUGAUGCGGCGCGUCCCGGGCGAGGUCCGCGCUUCGGCAAGGAUGUUGGCGUAAUGGUUGUCAGCGGCCCGUCUUGAAACACGGACCAAGGAGUCUAACAUCUAUGCGAGUGUUCGGGUGUCAAACCCCUACGCGUAAUGAAAGUGAACGGAGGUGGGAACCGCAAGGUGCACCAUCGACCGAUCCUGAUGUCCUCGGAUGGAUUUGAGUAAGAGCAUAGCUGUUGGGACCCGAAAGAUGGUGAACUAUGCCUGAAUAGGGUGAAGCCAGAGGAAACUCUGGUGGAGGCUCGCAGCGGUUCUGACGUGCAAAUCGAUCGUCAAAUUUGGGUAUAGGGGCGAAAGACUAAUCGAACCAUCUAGUAGCUGGUUCCUGCC
rnacentral:rRNA from 1 species